UGGGGAAUUUUGGACAAUGGGCGAAAGCCUGAUCCAGCAAUGCCGCGUGUGUGAAGAAGGCCUUCGGGUUGUAAAGCACUUUUGUCCGGAAAGAAAUCCUCUGGGUUAAUACCUCGGGGGGAUGACGGUACCGGAAGAAUAAGCACCGGCUAACUACGUGCCAGCAGCCGCGGUAAUACGUAGGGUGCAAGCGUUAAUCGGAAUUACUGGGCGUAAAGCGUGCGCAGGCGGUUUUGCAAGACGGAUGUGAAAUCCCCGGGCUUAACCUGGGAACUGCAUUCGUGACUGCAAGGCUAGAGUAUGGCAGAGGGGGGUAGAAUUCCACGUGUAGCAGUGAAAUGCGUAGAGAUGUGGAGGAAUACCGAUGGCGAAGGCAGCCCCCUGGGCCAAUACCGACGCUCAUGCACGAAAGCGUGGGGAGCAAACAGGAUUAGAUACCCUGGUAGUCCACGCCCUAAACGAUGUCAACUAGUUGUUGGGGAUUCAUUUCCUUAGUAACGUAGCUAACGCGUGAAGUUGACCGCCUGGGGAGUACGGUCGCAAGAUUAAAACUUAAAGGAAUUGAC
rnacentral:rRNA from 1 species